rnacentral:rRNA from 1 species
AGAGAUCAUGGCUCAGGAUGAACGCUAGCGGCAGGCCUAAUACAUGCAAGUCGAACGGUUCCUAGCAAUAGGAAUAGUGGCGCACGGGUGCGUAACGCGUAACCAACCUACCCAGAACUGGGGGAUAGCCCGCCGAAAGGCGGAUUAAUACCGCAUAAGACCAUAGUACGGCAUCGUACAGUGGUUAAAGAUUUAUUGGUUUUGGAUGGGGUUGCGUGCCAUUAGCUAGUUGGGGGGGUAACGGCCCACCAAGGCGACGAUGGCUAGGGGAGCUGAGAGGCUGGUCCCCCACACGGGCACUGAGAUACGGGCCCGACUCCUACGGGAGGCAGCAGUAGGGAAUAUUGGGCAAUGGGCGAGAGCCUGACCCAGCCAUGCCGCGUGCAGGACGAAGGCUUUCUGAGUCGUAAACUGCUUUUGCCAGGGAAGAAAAAGGGGGAUGCGUCCCCCACUGACGGUACCUGGUGAAUAAGCACCGGCUAACUCCGUGCCAGCAGCCGCGGUAAUACGGAGGGUGCAAGCGUUGUCCGGAUUUAUUGGGUUUAAAGGGUGCGUAGGCGGUCCGUUAAGUCCGGGGUGAAAGCCCACUGCUCAACAGUGGAACUGCCCUGGAAACUGGCGGACUUGAGUACAGACGAGGGUGGCGGAAUGGAUGGGGUAGCGGUGAAAUGCAUAGAUACCAUCCAGAACCCCGAUUGCGAAGGCAGCUGCCUAUACUGUAACUGACGCUGAUGCACGAC